rnacentral:rRNA from 1 species
ACUAAGCGUACACGGUGGAUGCCCUGGCAGUCAGAGGCGAUGAAGGACGUGCUAAUCUGCGAUAAGCGUCGGUAAGGUGAUAUGAACCGUUAUAACCGGCGAUUUCCGAAUGGGGAAACCCAGUGUGAUUCGUCACACUAUCAUUAACUGAAUCCAUAGGUUAAUGAGGCGAACCGGGGGAACUGAAACAUCUAAGUACCCCGAGGAAAAGAAAUCAACCGAGAUUCCCCCAGUAGCGGCGAGCGAACGGGGAGCAGCCCAGAGCCUGAAUCAGUGUGUGUGUUAGUGGAAGCGUCUGGAAAGGCGCGCGAUACAGGGUGACAGCCCCGUACACAAAAAUGCACAUACUGUGAGCUCGAUGAGUAGGGCGGGACACGUGGUAUCCUGUCUGAAUAUGGGGGGACCAUCCUCCAAGGCUAAAUACUCCUGACUGACCGAUAGUGAACCAGUACCGUGAGGGAAAGGCGAAAAGAACCCCGGCGAGGGGAGUGAAAAAGAACCUGAAACCGUGUACGUACAAGCAGUGGGAGCACAGAGCAAUCUGUGUGACUGCGUACCUUUUGUAUAAUGGGUCAGCGACUUAUAUUCUGUAGCAAGGUUAACCGAAUAGGGGAGCCGAAGGGAAACCGAGUCUUAACUGGGCGUUAAGUUGCAGGGUAUAGACCCGAAACCCGGUGAUCUAGCCAUGGGCAGGUUGAAGGUUGGGUAACACUAACUGGAGGACCGAACCGACUAAUGUUGAAAAAUUAGCGGAUGACUUGUGGCUGGGGGUGAAAGGCCAAUCAAACCGGGAGAUAGCUGGUUCUCCCCGAAAGCUAUUUAGGUAGCGCCUCGUGAAUUCAUCUCCGGGGGUAGAGCACUGUUUCGGCAAGGGGGUCAUCCCGACUUACCAACCCGAUGCAAACUGCGAAUACCGGAGAAUGUUAUCACGGGAGACACACGGCGGGUGCUAACGUCCGUCGUGAAGAGGGAAACAACCCAGACCGCCAGCUAAGGUCCCAAAGUCAUGGUUAAGUGGGAAACGAUGUGGGAAGGCCCAGACAGCCAGGAUGUUGGCUUAGAAGCAGCCAUCAUUUAAAGAAAGCGUAAUAGCUCACUGGUCGAGUCGGCCUGCGCGGAAGAUGUAACGGGGCUAAACCAUGCACCGAAGCUGCGGCAGCGACGCUUAUGCGUUGUUGGGUAGGGGAGCGUUCUGUAAGCCUGUGAAGGUGUACUGUGAGGUAUGCUGGAGGUAUCAGAAGUGCGAAUGCUGACAUAAGUAACGAUAAAGCGGGUGAAAAGCCCGCUCGCCGGAAGACCAAGGGUUCCUGUCCAACGUUAAUCGGGGCAGGGUGAGUCGACCCCUAAGGCGAGGCCGAAAGGCGUAGUCGAUGGGAAACAGGUUAAUAUUCCUGUACUUGGUGUUACUGCGAAGGGGGGACGGAGAAGGCUAUGUUGGCCGGGCGACGGUUGUCCCGGUUUAAGCGUGUAGGCUGGUUUUCCAGGCAAAUCCGGAAAAUCAAGGCUGAGGCGUGAUGACGAGGCACUACGGUGCUGAAGCAACAAAUGCCCUGCUUCCAGGAAAAGCCUCUAAGCAUCAGGUAACAUCAAAUCGUACCCCAAACCGACACAGGUGGUCAGGUAGAGAAUACCAAGGCGCUUGAGAGAACUCGGGUGAAGGAACUAGGCAAAAUGGUGCCGUAACUUCGGGAGAAGGCACGCUGAUAUGUAGGUGAAGUCCCUCGCGGAUGGAGCUGAAAUCAGUCGAAGAUACCAGCUGGCUGCAACUGUUUAUUAAAAACACAGCACUGUGCAAACACGAAAGUGGACGUAUACGGUGUGACGCCUGCCCGGUGCCGGAAGGUUAAUUGAUGGGGUCAGCGCAAGCGAAGCUCUUGAUCGAAGCCCCGGUAAACGGCGGCCGUAACUAUAACGGUCCUAAGGUAGCGAAAUUCCUUGUCGGGUAAGUUCCGACCUGCACGAAUGGCGUAAUGAUGGCCAGGCUGUCUCCACCCGAGACUCAGUGAAAUUGAACUCGCUGUGAAGAUGCAGUGUACCCGCGGCAAGACGGAAAGACCCCGUGAACCUUUACUAUAGCUUGACACUGAACAUUGAGCCUUGAUGUGUAGGAUAGGUGGGAGGCUUUGAAGUGUGGACGCCAGUCUGCAUGGAGCCGACCUUGAAAUACCACCCUUUAAUGUUUGAUGUUCUAACGUGGACCCGUAAUCCGGGUUGCGGACAGUGUCUGGUGGGUAGUUUGACUGGGGCGGUCUCCUCCUAAAGAGUAACGGAGGAGCACGAAGGUUGGCUAAUCCUGGUCGGACAUCAGGAGGUUAGUGCAAUGGCAUAAGCCAGCUUGACUGCGAGCGUGACGGCGCGAGCAGGUGCGAAAGCAGGUCAUAGUGAUCCGGUGGUUCUGAAUGGAAGGGCCAUCGCUCAACGGAUAAAAGGUACUCCGGGGAUAACAGGCUGAUACCGCCCAAGAGUUCAUAUCGACGGCGGUGUUUGGCACCUCGAUGUCGGCUCAUCACAUCCUGGGGCUGAAGUAGGUCCCAAGGGUAUGGCUGUUCGCCAUUUAAAGUGGUACGCGAGCUGGGUUUAGAACGUCGUGAGACAGUUCGGUCCCUAUCUGCCGUGGGCGCUGGAGAACUGAGGGGGGCUGCUCCUAGUACGAGAGGACCGGAGUGGACGCAUCACUGGUGUUCGGGUUGUCAUGCCAAUGGCACUGCCCGGUAGCUAAAUGCGGAAGAGAUAAGUGCUGAAAGCAUCUAAGCACGAAACUUGCCCCGAGAUGAGUUCUCCCUGACUCCUUGAGAGUCCUGAAGGAACGUUGAAGACGACGACGUUGAUAGGCCGGGUGUGUAAGCGCAGCGAUGCGUUGAGCUAACCGGUACUAAUGAACCGUGAGGCUUAACC